GUUUUUUUCUCAUCCAAGAAUCUAAGAAGAGUCCAUAAAGAAGGCUGACAACAAAUGAAUGGAGAAAACACAAGCCCCAAAGCCUGCAGCACAGCCAGGGACCCUCUGUGAGCUGAGUCUGUGAGUUAGGGACCAGCUGUCUUCUCCAUGAAGCCUGCCCUGAUUCUCCCCAGGGGGAAGGCUGGCCCCCUUUUCCAAACUCCCACUACAUUUUGUCCCAGUUGGAAGCCACUGGGACUCCCUAAGAACAAUAUCCAAGUUGAAGACACCUUUGCCACCCCCGCCAGUGGACAUGGAAGGAGUGCCACACACACCCGCCCUGAAUGCAGAAGCAGCAGAGUCAGCCUUCUAAUAGCACCCAAAGGGCUCCUCAUGCUGGUGCAACCCCGCUGCCACUGCUCCUGAGCCUAUGUUCCCUUCUCUCCACCAUGCACCUUCUGACAUCAUGACUCACUGGAGAACCAGGCCAGGAUCCCAACCACCCCGUGUCUCAGUGGGCCUGGGCGGGAGCCCUGUGCUGCCAGGAGGAGCAGAGAUAACAUUGAUUGUCCAGAAGCUCUACGAUGGAGACAGGUUGUCAUUGGAAGUCCAACAAGAGACAGAGGCAAGUGAGCUUUAUGGAGCACCUACUGUGUGCCAGGCCCCAUGCAACGGGCUUCUGUGGAGGCCUGCCCCUGCCAUCUUCACAACCCUCAG